UACGUAGGGGGCAAGCGUUGUCCGGAAUCAUUGGGCGUAAAGAGCGUGUAGGCGGCUUGGUAAGUCCGCUGUGAAAGUCCAGGGCUCAACCCUGGAAUGCCGGUGGAAACUGUCAAGCUUGAGUCCGGAAGAGGCGAGUGGAAUUCCUGGUGUAGCGGUGAAAUGCGCAGAUAUCAGGAGGAAUACCAGCGGCGAAGGCGGCGCUCUGGGCCGGUACUGACGCUGAGGAGCGAAAGCGUGGGGAGCAAACAGG
rnacentral:rRNA from 1 species